rnacentral:lncRNA from 1 species
GUUUCCCUGUAGCAUUUCUCAGAGUAGGGAUUGUGGGCAGGGGAAUGCUACUUUGAGAGGAGAGGUACCCAAAAAACUUUCCUGACUAUCUUUAUUUCAGGACUCCCAGGGACAUCCCUGCAUUGUAGCAGACAAAGGACCAACUGAUCCUAGCAACACAGCAGCACUCCUGGAGCUCAGAUCAACGCAAUGCUCUGCAUUACCACAGACAGCUGGGGCAGGAGCUCCUCCACCAAUGGAAGGGAAUUUAUUGAAGAAAGUGACCUAAAAUGCAGGUGGUGGAUGAAGAUGAAGGGACUACAACCACAAAUUUCCAUGACUUAUUAUAGGCACGGAUAUUGUCUUUGUCCAUUUUCAGAUGACUGAACCAAUCGAGCAUUUUUUAUUCUUCUGUGAACUUCCAAGUUUUGAGCAAAAAUAAACUUUCUUCCUUCUCAAGUGGCA